CCUACGGGAGGCAGCAGUGGGGAAUAUUGGGCAAUGGGCGCAAGCCUGACCCAGCAACGCCGCGUGAAGGAAGAAGGCUUUCGGGUUGUAAACUUCUUUUGUCAGGGAAGAGUAGAAGACGGUACCUGACGAAUAAGCUACGGCUAACUACGUGCCAGCAGCCGCGGUAAUACGGAGGGGGCAAGCGUUGUCCGGAUUUACUGGGUGUAAAGGGCGUGUAGCCGGGUUGACAAGUCAGAUGUGAAAUCCUGCGGCUUAACCGCAGAACUGCAUUUGAAACUGUUGAUCUUGAGUACUGGAGAGGCAGAUGGAAUUCCUAGUGUAGCGGUGAAAUGCGUAGAUAUUAGGAGGAACACCAGUGGCGAAGGCGGUCUGCUGGACAGCAACUGACGGUGAGGCGCGAAAGCGUGGGGAGCAAACAGGAUUAGAUACCCCAGUAGUC
rnacentral:rRNA from 1 species